rnacentral:rRNA from 1 species
GUGAUUAAGUAAGAAAGGGCGUACGGUGGAUGCCUAGGCACUUGGAACUGAAGAAGGACGCAGCAAACAGCGAAAUGUUGCGGGGAGCGGUACGCACGCAAAGAUCCGCAGAUAUCCGAAUGGGGAAACCCGUCAUCUGUAAUAGGAUGACACCCAUGAGCGAAUACAUAACUCAUGAGGGAGGUACCCGGGGAACUGAAACAUCUAAGUACCCGGAGGAAAAGAAAAUAAAUAAUGAUUCCGUAAGUAGCGGCGAGCGAAAGCGGAGGAGCCCAAACCAGUNNNNNNNNNNCGGCGAGCGAAAGCGGAGGAGCCCAAACCAGUUCUCGAACUGGGGUUGUAGGACCACGAUAAGACAAGAACUAUGAUAGGAGAACAGCAUUGAAAGGCUGACCGGAGAGGGUGCAAGUCCCGUAACCGAAAUCGUAGUGAAGUCUAGUGGGAUCCUGAGUACGGCGAGACACGAGAAAUCUUGUCGGAAGCAGGCGGGACCAUCCGUCAAGGCUAAAUAUACCCAAGUGACCGAUAGUGAACCAGUACCGUGAGGGAAAGGUGAAAAGAACCGCGGGAGCGGAGUGAAAGAGAACCUGAAACCGUAUGCCUACAAGAAGUCAGAGCCCGUUAAAGGGUGAUGGCGUGCCUUUUGUAGAAUGAACCGGCGAGUUACGUUAUCGUGCGAGGUUAAGUAGAAGAUACGGAGCCGAAGCGAAAGCGAGUCUUAAUAGGGCGGCAGUACGAUGACGUAGACCCGAAACCGUGUGAUCUAGCCAUGACCAGGUUGAAGUUCAGGUGAAACUGAAUGGAGGACCGAACCGACCCCCGUUGAAAAGUUGGCGGAUGAGUUGUGGCUAGGGGAGAAAUUCCAAUCGAACACGGAUAUAGCUGGUUCUCCCCGAAAUAGCUUUAGGGCUAGCGUCGAGGAAGAGUAUAUUGGAGGUAGAGCACUGAAUGUACGAUGGCCCCAUCCCGGGGUACUGAGUAUAAUCAAACUCCGAAUGCCAAUAUAUAUACUCGGCAGUCAGACUGUGGGUGAUAAGGUCCAUGGUCAAAAGGGAAACAGCCCAGACCGCCAGUUAAGGUCCCAAAAUGUAUGCUAAGUGGAAAAGGAUGUGGGGAUGCACAGACAACUAGGAGGUUGGCUCAGAAGCAGCCACCCUUCAAAGAGUGCGUAACAGCUCACUAGUCGAGUGACCCUGCGCCGAAAAUGUACCGGGGCUAAGCAUACUACCGAAGCUGCGGAUUUGUAGUAAUACAAGUGGUAGGGGAGCGUUCCAUACUGCGUAGAAGUCAGAUCGUAAGGACUGAUGGAGUGUAUGGAAGUGAGAAUGCCGGUGUGAGUAGCGAGAUGUAGGUGAGAAUCCUACACACCGAUAGCCCAAGGGUUCCAGGGGAAGGUUCGUCCGCCCUGGGUAAGUCGGGACCUAACGCGAGGCCGAAAGGCGUAGUGGAUGGAAAACAGGCAGAUAUUCCUGUACCCGCGAUGGAAGUGAAGGAAUGACGGAGAAGGCUAGUGUGACCCACUGAAUGGAUUGUGGGCGAAGCGAAUAGCAGGACGGCAGUGAAAUGCGUCGUCGGAAUGUAAAACGUGACAGGUAAGGGAACGUCUACGGACAAGUACCGAAGCACAUGAGGCCAGCUUCCAGGAAAAGUUUCUAGCGUUGAUUCCAUAGCGGCCCGUACCAAAACCGACACAGGUGGGCAAGGAGAGGAUCCUGAGGUGAGCGAGAGAACUGUUGCCAAGGAACUCGGCAAAAUGACUCCGUAAGUUAGCGAUAAGGAGUGCUCUUGUAAAAGAGAGCCGCAGUGAAGAGGCCCAAGCGACUGUUUAACUAAAACACAGCUCUCUGCAAAGUCGCAAGACGAAGUAUAGGGGGUGACGCCUGCCCGGUGCUGGAAGGUUAAAAGGAUCUGUGAAUCGCAAGAGGAAGCAGUGAACUGAAGCCCCAGUGAACGGCGGCCGUAACUAUAACGGUCCUAAGGUAGCGAAAUUCCUUGUCAGGUAAGUUCUGACCCGCACGAAAGGCGUAACGAUUUGGGCGCUGUCUCGGCAGCAGACUCGGUGAAAUCUUAGUACCUGUGAAAAUGCAGGUUACCCGCAACUAGACGGAAAGACCCCAUGGAGCUUUACUGUAGCCUGAUAUUGAGUUUUGAUCAAAGAUGUACAGGAUAGGUGGGAGGCGAAGAGACGUGUACGCCAGUAUACGAGGAGCCGCUGUUGGGAUACCACUCUUGUUUGAUUGAAAUUCUAACCUGCAUCCAUGAACUGGAUGAGGGACCGUGUCAGGUGGGCAGUUUGACUGGGGCGGUCGCCUCCUAAAGAGUAACGGAGGCGCCCAAAGGUACGCUCAGAUUGGAUGGAAAUCAAUCGACGAGUGCAAAUGCAGAAGCGUGCUUGACUGCGAGAGAAACAACUCGAGCAGGGACGAAAGUCGGGAUUAGUGAUCCGGCGGUGCCGAAUGGAAGGGCCGUCGCUCAACGGAUAAAAGCUACCCUGGGGAUAACAGGCUGAUCUCGCCCAAGAGUUCACAUCGACGGCGAGGUUUGGCACCUCGAUGUCGGCUCAUCGCAUCCUGGAGCUGAAUUCGGUUCCAAGGGUUGGGCUGUCCGCCCAUUAAAGCGGUACGCGAGCUGGGUUCAGAACGUCGUGAGACAGUUCGGUCCCUAUCUGUUGUGGGCGAAGGAAAUUUGAGGAGAGCUGUCCUUAGUACGAGAGGACCGGGAUGGACCUACCGCUGGUGCACCAGUUGUUCCGCCAGGAGCAUAGCUGGGUAGCUAAGUAGGGAAGGGAUAAGCGCUGAAAGCAUCUAAGCGCGAAGCCCCCUCCAAGAUGAGAUUUCCCAUUCUUCGGAAGUAAGACCCCUUGAAGACGACGAGGUAGAUAGGUCAGAGAUGGAAACGUAGUGAUACGUGGAGUUGACUGAUACUAAUAGGUCGAGGACUUAAUCACA